rnacentral:rRNA from 1 species
AGGUAGGCCCACCAAACCUUCGAUGGAUAGGGGUUCUGAGAGGAAGGUCCCCCACAUUGGAACUGAGACACGGUCCAAACUCCUACGGGAGGCAGCAUG